AGAGUUUGAUCCUGGCUCAGGAUGAACGCUGGCGGCGUGCCUAACACAUGCAAGUCGAGCGAUUCUCUUCGGAGAAUAGCGGCGGACGGGUGAGUAACGCGUGGGUAACCUGCCCUAUACACACGGAUAACAUACCGAAAGGUAUGCUAAUACGAGAUAACAUACUUUUAUCGCAUGGUAGAAGUAUCAAAGCUCCGGCGGUACAGGAUGGACCCGCGUCUGAUUAGCUAGUUGGUAAGGUAACGGCUUACCAAGGCGACGAUCAGUAGCCGACCUGAGAGGGUGAUCGGCCACAUUGGAACUGAGACACGGUCCAAACUCCUACGGGAGGCAGCAGUGGGGAAUAUUGCACAAUGGGCGAAAGCCUGAUGCAGCAACGCCGCGUGAGCGAUGAAGGCCUUCGGGUCGUAAAGCUCUGUCCUCAAGGAAGAUAAUGACGGUACUUGAGGAGGAAGCCCCGGCUAACUACGUGCCAGCAGCCGCGGUAAUACGUAGGGGGCUAGCGUUAUCCGGAAUUACUGGGCGUAAAGGGUGCGUAGGUGGUUUCUUAAGUCAGAGGUGAAAGGCUACGGCUCAACCGUAGUAAGCCUUUGAAACUGGGAAACUUGAGUGCAGGAGAGGAGAGUGGAAUUCCUAGUGUAGCGGUGAAAUGCGUAGAUAUUAGGAGGAACACCAGUUGCGAAGGCGGCUCUCUGGACUGUAACUGACACUGAGGCACGAAAGCGUGGGGAGCAAACAGGAUUAGAUACCCUGGUAGUCCACGCCGUAAACGAUGAGUACUAGCUGUCGGAGGUUACCCCCUUCGGUGGCGCAGCUAACGCAUUAAGUACUCCGCCUGGGAAGUACGCUCGCAAGAGUGAAACUCAAAGGAAUUGACGG
rnacentral:rRNA from 1 species